AACGAACGCUGGCGGCGUGCUUAACACAUGCAAGUCGAACGAGAAAGCUCUUUCGGGAGUGAGUAGAGUGGCGCACGGGUGAGUAAUGGAUAGGAACGUACCGAUUAGUGGGGAAUAACCACGGGAAACUGUGGCUAAUACCGCAUGUGAUCGCAAGAUUAAAGUUGGCCUCUACUUGUAAGCUAGCGCUAAUUGAUCGGCCUAUCUCCCAUUAGCUUGUUGGCAGGGUAAUGGCCUACCAAGGCUACGAUGGGUAGCUGGUCUGAGAGGAUGAUCAGCCACACUGGAACUGAGACACGGUCCAG
rnacentral:rRNA from 1 species